rnacentral:lncRNA from 1 species
GUCAACUAUGAUAGUUACAACCAUGCCAAUUUUUCCCAGCGCAAUUUCCCUGGUCGUCACGGACAACCAUUUCAGCGGUACAACCAUAUGAGUUCCACCUCUAUACGCCCGGCGGGGAAUCUCCAAAAUGUUCGAUCUGCCUGGUCCAAAUAUGGCAUGCCAGAUUCUACUUCGCCCCCUCGGAUGGUUGAGGGGAUGCCUUGGGGUAAUGAAUGAUUUCACUGUUGCACAAUUAGUGGUUUCUAUUGAUUUCGUUGUUGACAUUGCCAUGUCUAUCAUAUUCCUGCCAUUAGCAAAGCAGGAUCCUGUAAUAAUGCUAUGUAUGAACUUGCUCUGGUCCAAUCUUAGAUGAUACCAUCGUUGCAAACCUGUAACAUCUUGAAGUCUUGCUAUUUAAUCUUGAGGAGAGUGUUAACGGUUAGGACUUAAGAGUACAAAAAGACACUUGAUAGUAUACUCCACCAUCAUAUGAUUUUCUCUAGGUCUGUCUGUCGAUGCACAUGGAUGGAAAAAAUGUGUAGCUGUUAAGCAUCAAACCUUGUAUGACACUGUCUGAGCUAUUGACUGAGGGUUUUAUAAUUUGAUCCGCUUAUCCUACAACCACAGCUUAGCUUUUAAAGUUAUGAUGAGUAUAAUUUAUUAUUUUUUCUUCCAUGAUGUGUAUGUGUUUGGGAGCUGCAGAAAGAGGCUUGUGCGCAUCUAUGUCUUUCAAGCAUAAUACUGAUAAAAAUGAAUUGUUUAUGUGCAGGAGGAAGCGCUGGCCACUCUCUUGCAACAAGCGGACUGCCGCCGUCCUUUGGAAGAAAUGAUUUCGGGAGGAUCUUCUAGCCCUUGCCUUGGACCUGGAGGAAUGCCAUCCAAUUGAUGGCAUAAAAUUGUUUGUGUUUGCAAUUCUUUCUUGCGCUGCUGUUAAUUUUUGCGAUCCGUAGUGUUCCUCCUAUUGUUGGUGUCCUGCUGUGGUACUUGGAUUCAUGAAGCCUAUAAUUAUAGCNGGAAUGAUGCUUCGUAUACUGAGUUUAGGAAUUGGUUUCUCAGGUCUUCUCAUUUUAGCUAGCCCCCAUGGUUGAGACUGUACAGAUGCAUAUUUUAACAUGCGUAUCACAUUAUGAUUGAGUGUUCGAGAUGAUUUUGUCGGUUAGAAACAUCCAUACUAUGGAACAUCAUUGUGCACUAGGUCAUGAGAAAUGUUGGUUUUAAUGCACUUCAUGCACCCCAAUAGUUUCAUGCUUCAACAAUUUGUUUUCUAUUUUUUCAGCCAAUUAAAGAUAAUUAAUACUGCUGUGAUAUCUUUUUUUUUCAAUUCUGGAUGCCGCUGCUCCUGCAUUAAUUGUAUCCACUGAUUCUUUGUUCAUGUUUGUGCUGUAGACAUGACCGCCUAUUUCAUGCACCGUUUCUCCGAGAGAGUGGCCAUUCAGCAGGCCACGUCAACUAUGAUAGUUACAACCAUGCCAAUUUUUCCCAGCGCAAUUUCCCUGGUCGUCACGGACAACCAUUUCAGCGGUACAACCAUAUGAGUUCCACCUCUAUACGCCCGGCGGGGAAUCUCCAAAAUGUUCGAUCUGCCUGGUCCAAAUAUGGCAUGCCAGAUUCUACUUCGCCCCCUCGGAUGGUUGAGGGGAUGCCUUGGGGUAAUGAAUGAUUUCACUGUUGCACAAUUAGUGGUUUCUAUUGAUUUCGUUGUUGACAUUGCCAUGUCUAUCAUAUUCCUGCCAUUAGCAAAGCAGGAUCCUGUAAUAAUGCUAUGUAUGAACUUGCUCUGGUCCAAUCUUAGAUGAUACCAUCGUUGCAAACCUGUAACAUCUUGAAGUCUUGCUAUUUAAUCUUGAGGAGAGUGUUAACGGUUAGGACUUAAGAGUACAAAAAGACACUUGAUAGUAUACUCCACCAUCAUAUGAUUUUCUCUAGGUCUGUCUGUCGAUGCACAUGGAUGGAAAAAAUGUGUAGCUGUUAAGCAUCAAACCUUGUAUGACACUGUCUGAGCUAUUGACUGAGGGUUUUAUAAUUUGAUCCGCUUAUCCUACAA